rnacentral:rRNA from 1 species
UACGGGGGGUGCGAGCGUUGUCCGGAAUCACUGGGCGUAAAGGGCGCGUAGGCGGCCUGAUAAGUAGGGGGUGAAAUCCUGCGGCUUAACCGCAGGGCUGCCUUCUAAACUGUCGGGCUCGAGCACAGUAGAGGCAGGUGGAAUUCCCGGUGUAGCGGUGGAAUGCGUAGAGAUCGGGAAGAACAUCAGUGGCGAAGGCGGCCUACUGGGCCAUUACUGACACUGAGAGACGAAAGCUAGGGGAGCAAAUGGG